CACGUAGGGGGCAAGCGUUGUCCGGAUUUAUUGGGCGUAAAGAGCUCGUAGGCGGUUUCGUAAGUCGGGUGUGAAAACUCUAGGCUCAACCUAGAGACGCCACCCGAUACUGCGAUGACUAGAGUCCGGUAGGGGAGCGUGGAAUUCCUGGUGUAGCGGUGAAAUGCGCAGAUAUCAGGAGGAACACCAACGGCGAAGGCAGCACUCUGGGCCGGAACUGACGCUGAGGAGCGAAAGCGUGGGUAGCGAACAGG
rnacentral:rRNA from 1 species